UCUAGAGAUUACUCCUACGGGAGGCAGCAGUAGGGAAUCUUCGGCAAUGGACGAAAGUCUGACCGAGCAACGCCGCGUGAGUGAAGAAGGUUUUCGGAUCGUAAAACUCUGUUGGUAGAGAAGAACGUUGGUGAGAGUGGAAAGCUCAUCAAGUGACGGUAACUACCCAGAAAGGGACGGCUAACUACGUGCCAGCAGCCGCGGUAAUAAUCGUCGAC
rnacentral:rRNA from 1 species